ensembl:lncRNA GUSBP5 GUSB pseudogene 5
UCUUCAGCAUAGAACACAAACUCUGCCUUCUUUUCUCAAGUCCAGUGAUUCAAGUUUGACACACCACACCACGGUGGAUGUGCCUUGUCAUGACACAUCUCAGCAGCACUAGAAGAUACAUCCAAAGUCCUGUGAGCAAGGUCUGUGGUAUCUGUUUAUUAUGGCAGCCCAGUAAGACUAAGACAGGCCAUCACAAGACGUGAACGUUUUGGACCUUCUCUUGGGCCCUAGUAAACAGAAAUCAGGCUAUUUAUUAAACUAAUCCACGUUCUGAACAGUUAUUGCUACUGGAAACCAGUCCCGAUCCAGACCACAAAAGACGAUUCUUGGAUCUUGCACAAGAAAGAAAGGCUUAUAGAAGAGUACAGCAUACAGAAAAAUACAUCUUCUGCAAAGAAAACACAGUCAUGUAGAGAACCUUUCCAUCCCCAGUCUGGACCCAGUCCAGUGAUUCAAGUUUGACACACCACACCACGGUGGAUGUGCCUUGUCAUGACACAUCUUCUCAGCAGCACUAGAAGAUACAUCCAAAGUCCUGUGAGCAAGGACACAGCGAGAAGAUGGCUGUCUACAAGCCAGGAAGAGAGUCCUCACCAGAACCAAACCCUGCUGGACUUUGAUCUUGGACUUCCCAGCCUCUAAAACUGUGAAGACAUAAAUUUCUGUUGUUAAACCCACACAGGUCUGUGGUAUCUGUUUAUUAUGGCAGCCCAGUAAGACUAAGACAGGCCAUCACAAGACAUGAAUGUUUUGGACCUUCUCUUGGGCCCUAGUAAACAGAAAUCAGGUACGCAAAAGGGGUAAGCAUAUAAUUUCCUUUAUUUUUAUUUUUAAUGUGUAAGCCUUAGGUUUUUAUUUAUUUAUUUGGUGAAGACAAUCACAUUGUGUACGUACAAUGUAAUUAU